UAACGCUGGCGGCAUGCUCUACACAUUUCAAGUCGAACGGCAGCACGGGUGCUUGCACCUGGUGGCGAGUGGCGAACGGGAGUAAUACAUCGGAACGUACCUUAUCGUGGGGGAUAACGCAGCGAAAGUUGCGCUAAUACCGCAUACGCCCUGUGGGGGAAAGCGGGGGACCGUAAGGCCUCGCGCGAUUAGAGCGGCCGAUGUCUGAUUAGCUUGUUGGUGAGGUAAAAGCUCACCAAGGCGAUGAUCAGUAGCUGGUCUGAGAGGACGAUCAGCCACACUGGGACUGAGACACGGCCCAGACUCCUACGGGAGGCAGCAGUGGGGAAUUUUGGACAAUGGGGGCAACCCUNGAUCCAGCAAUGCCGCGCGAGUGAAGAAGGCCUUUGGGUUGUAAAGCUCUUUUGUCAGGGAAGAAACAGCAGCUCUAACACAGUCUGCGAAUGACGGUACCUGAAGAAUACGCACCGGCUACCUACGUGCCAGCAGCCGCGGUAAUACGUAGGGUGCGAGCGUACAUCGGAAUUACUGGGC
rnacentral:rRNA from 1 species